ensembl:lncRNA
GAAGUACCCAAGUAGGUUGUUUUUUUUCUCACGGAUGAGUUUUUCUCAGUUCCAGUUAAGUGGUUGCAUGCGUGUUACUGCCUUAGCCAUUCAUCUAUUCAAAUUUUGGGUUUAGGUUUGUUGCAGAUUUAUACCUGGAUUUGUUCAUAAUUUUCCAGACGAUAAAUGAAGAGCAUGGAGCAGUUCCUUAUCAUUGUUCUAUUAGCAGGAGGAACACUCGCUCUCGUUCCAGUUGAUGAGACUACUUGCGACCUCAGGACAAACACAUUUCCAUGCUCUCCUAUUCUUGAAGGAACUGUGUAUAUCCAAGUGAUGAAUGAUGCUAGUGGCCGUGAAAUGAAGUGUUUGAAGGUGCUCCCCAGUGUGAACAUAACUGUGUUCAAUCUGAAGAAAGGAAAAAUAACGAUAGACAAGGAAUUUAGCAACAGACUACAGUUUCUAAUCAAGAACGGGACACUCAAGAUCACAAACCUGAGGAGGAAUGAUUCAGGUCAAUACAGCAUUGAGGUCUUUAAUUCAGAUGGAGUUCAAGAGAAAAACAUUCUUUUCACCCUGGAUGUUAAAGACAAUGGCGAAGUUGAAGCUCUGGUUCCAGUUGAUGAGACUACUUGUGACCUCAGGACGAACACAUGCCCGUGCUUUCCUCUUCUUAAAGGAACUGUGUAUAUCCAAGUGAUGACUGAUGCCAGUGGCCAUGAAAUGAAGUGUUUGAAGGUGCUUCCCAAGGGAAACACAACUGUUUUCAAUCUGAAGAAAGGAAAAAUAACGACAGACAAGGAAUUUAACAACAGACUACAGUUUCUAAUCAAGAACGGGACACUCAAGAUCACAAACCUGAGGAGGAAUGAUUCAGGUCGAUACAGCAUUGAGGUCUUUAAUUCCAAUGGAGUCCUAGAGAAAAAUAUUCAUUUCACCCUGGAUGUUAAAGACAAUGGCAACGUUGAAGCUCUCGUUACAGAUGAUGAGACCACUUGUGACCUCAGGACAAACACAUGUCCAUGCUCUCCUAUUUUUGAAGGAACUGUGUAUAUCCAAGUGAUGAAUGAUGCUAGUGGCCGUGAAAUGAAGUGUUUGAAGGUGCUUCCCAAGGGGAACAUAACUGUGUUCAAUCUGAAGAAAGGAAAAAUAAUGAUAGACAAGGAAUUUAACAACAGACUAACAUUUAUAAUCAAGAACGGGACACUCAAGAUCACAAACGUGAGGAGGAAUGAUUCAGGUCAAUACAGCAUUGAGGUCUUUAAUUCAAAUGGAGUUCAAGAGAAAAACAUUCAUUUCACCCUGGAUGUUAAGGACAAUGGCAAAGUUGAAGCUCCUGUGUCCUCUGUCCUGCUGGUCUCUGAGUGUCAGUCCCAGGGAGAGAUGAGGGUGUCCUGCUCCUCUGAGGGAGGGGACAGUCCUCAGUACAGCUGGACUCUGGAUGGACGCACACUGACAGAUGCUGAGCUCCUUCCUGGAAAUAAUGAGAGUAACAUCAUCACUCUGAAACAGCACGUCUCAGGACAUCUGGUCUGCUCAGUCAGGAACAACGUCAGUGAUGCCUUCAAAGAAGAGAUGAUAUCUACCUGUGGCUUUGUUUUCAUCAGCUGCUCAUUAUUUAAUGGGACACAGAUGUCAGGGUGGGUGCAUAAGUCCAGUAAUACCCUUUGUCCAGAACCAACAGGAGACCCUACCACAGCCACACAGACUGCAGUAGGUACUUCCUGGUUCAUGUUUGGUUUGAAAGCCACUGUGGUAAUUAUAUCAUUAAGUGGGAUUUCGCUCUAUUUCGCUUGGAAGAAAAAAACAAUAUUGGAAGGCUCUGCUGUCUCACAAAGGAUGGAAUCUCCAGAUAACUCUGUUUUGAUGAUUGCAUUGAGUUCUCACUCCAACACAUAGUGCCACCUUUCACCUGUUGUACAUUUCUCAUGUGUCCUUAUAGGCUUGUAAAUAAGGAUUAGUGGUCGUUUUUUCAUUCCACAUUUUAUUCACAGCUUAGUAUAUUUUUAGUAUAUGUCAAUAUGUUUUUUGUGUUUUUAUUAUUCAAGAACAGCAAUCCAGCAAAAUAUAAUAGAAGUGGAAAAUCAGAGAAAGAUCUUUGUCUCCUUCUUUCAUGUAUUGUUUAUUUUUGCAAUUGUAUUUCAUCUGUCUACUUGAAAUAUAUUCCAAAAAGACAUUAAGCACAUAUGUUAGUAUUUUUUGUCACAGUGGCUGUGUGGGUGGCAGAGAUUGGACACAAAUCCGACUUUUUUGACCCUAUGCAACCUAUAUCCGAUCAUGGUAUGACAGUAUGAACAGCACAAAUCUGAUAUUUUCAAAUCCGACCUGGGUCACUUUUGUAUGUGGUACUGAGUCCGAUACAUAUCUGAUGUUUUAGAAAGCGACUGCUGUUUGAAUGGUCAUGUCGCAUUAAAUCCGUCUUUUACGUCACUAACACAAGACAGACACUGAUUAUCAGCACCAGAGAAGACAAACGAGAAAGCAUGGCGGCGGAAACUGGAGAUGGAGGGAGUCAAUGGACAGAAACUGAGGUUUUGGACUUGAUUAGCGUAUGGGGAGACAAUUCUGUUCAAGCUAAAUUUGUAGGGUCGUAUCGUAACUGGGCUGUGUUCGGGUGCAUUGCCAAAGAAAUGGUUGAACGAGGGCACAGGCCAGCGUGGCCACAGUGUCAGAGGAUAGUGAAGAGCCUCAGAGCCAACUUUAAAGAAGCUAAAGAUAUAAACAAAUGUAGUCGGACGUGGUCGACCACAUUUUGUUCUUUCUCAAAAGUAUAUGUGAAGAUCAUUCUAAACUACAGAUGUGUGUGAAAGUGUACUAUAGGGAAGGGUCAGAAUAUAAGCAAGAAGAAAAAUACAGAGGCUCGUGGUAAAAGCUGCAUCUGAGCUUGUGGUUUGUGUAGUGACCCUUACUGCUGUUUCAUUUCUUUGUGGUUACAAUGACAAUCUUCUCUUUUUUGUUGAAACCUAACAUCUAACCUCAACAAAUAGAACUUUAAAAGUCACUGAGCAACACAACAAUCACUAAUGUCUGUACAUGUGUUUUGAGCACGAAGGCUCAGAUGUAUCAAAUAAAAUAUUUAUAGCUUAAUUAUACAUUAUAAUGACUGUCAUGUCUGUGUUAAACUGGCAUCAAUUUGUUUGUAAACUUCUCUUUUGGGUUACAUUCAUUUAAAAGAAAAUAUUACAGUCUCAGUGAAACUGCAUAAUUAGUUGGAGAAUAAAAUGACACCACUGGUUUGUGA